rnacentral:rRNA from 1 species
CAGUAGCCGCGGUAAUACGAAGGGUGCAAGCGUUAAUCGGAAUUACUGGGCGUAAAGCGCGCGUAGGUGGUUUGGUAAGAUGGAUGUGAAAUCCCCGGGCUCAACCUGGGAACUGCAUCCAUAACUGCCUGACUAGAGUACGGUAGAGGGUGGUGGAAUUUCCUGUGUAGCGGUGAAAUGCGUAGAUAUAGGAAGGAACACCAGUGGCGAAGGCGACCACCUGGACUGAUACUGACACUGAGGUGCGAAAGCGUGGGGAGCAAACAGGAUUAGAUACCCCUGUAGUCCCUGUCUCUUAUAC